GAGUUUGAUCCUGGCUCAGAUCGAACGCUGGCGGCAUGCCUUACACAUGCAAGUCGAACGGCAGCACGGGAGCUUGCUCCUGGUGGCGAGUGGCGAACGGGUGAGUAAUGCAUCGGAACGUAUCCUGGAGUGGGGAUAACGUAGCGAAGUUACGCUAAUACCGCAUAUUCUGUGAGCAGGAAAGCGGGGGAACCUUUCGGGCCUCGGCGCGUCUUGGAGCGGCCGAUGUCGGAUUUA
rnacentral:rRNA from 1 species